rnacentral:rRNA from 1 species
GAUGAACGCUAGCGGCAGGCCUAAUACAUGCAAGUCGAACGGUAAGGCCCUUUCGGGGGUACACGAGUGGCGGACGGGUGCGUAACGCGUAUGCAACAUGCCUUCCAGCGGGGGAUAUACCAGGGAAACUUGGCGCAAUACCCCAUAGAAUUACGGGACCGCAUGGUCUUGUGAUUAAAACUCCGGUGCUGGGAGAUUGGCAUGCGUGACAUUAGCUAGUUGGCGGGGUAACGGCCCACCAAGGCGACGAUCGGUAGGGGGUGUGAGAGCAUGGCCCCCCACACGGGUACUGAGACACGGACCCGACUCCUACGGGAGGCAGCAGUAAGGAAUAUUGGACAAUGGACGGAAGUCUGAUCCAGCCAUGCCGCGUGAAGGAAGAAGGCGCUCAGCGUUGUAAACUUCUUUUGGAUGGGAAUAAUAAUGUCGACGUGCUCGGCACUUGAAGGUACCAUCAGAAUAAGCACCGGCUAACUCCGUGCCAGCAGCCGCGGU